rnacentral:rRNA from 1 species
UAGGGAAUCUUCCACAAUGGACGAAAGUCUGAUGGAGCAACGCCGCGUGAGUGAAGAAGGUUUUCGGAUCGUAAAACUCUGUUGUAAGGGAAGAACACGUACGAGAGUAACUGCUCGUACCAUGACGGUACCUUAUUAGAAAGCCACGGCUAACUACGUGCCAGCAGCCGCGGUAAUACGUAGGUGGCAAGCGUUGUCCGGAAUUAUUGGGCGUAAAGCGCGCGCAGGCGGUUCUUUAAGUCUGAUGUGAAAGCCCACGGCUCAACCGUGGAGGGUCAUUGGAAACUGGAGAACUUGAGUACAGAAGAGGAAAGCGGAAUUCCACGUGUAGCGGUGAAAUGCGUAGAGAUGUGGAGGAACACCAGUGGCGAAGGCGGCUUUCUGGUCUGUAACUGACGCUGAGGCGCGAAAGCGUGGGGAGCAAACAGGAUUAGAUACCCUGGUAGUCCACGCCGUAAACGAUGAGUGCUAAGUGUUAGGGGGUUUCCGCCCCUUAGUGCUGCAG